AUACGUAGGUGGCAAGCGUUGUCCGGAAUUAUUGGGCGUAAAGCGCGCGCAGGUGGUUCCUUAAGUCUGAUGUGAAAGCCCCCGGCUCAACCGGGGAGGGUCAUUGGAAACUGGGGAACUUGAGUGCAGAAGAGGAUAGUGGAAUUCCAAGUGUAGCGGUGAAAUGCGUAGAGAUUUGGAGGAACACCAGUGGCGAAGGCGACUUUCUGGUCUGUAACUGACACUGAGGCGCGAAAGCGUGGGGAGCAGACAGGAUUAGAUACCCUGGUAGUCCACGCCGUAAACGAUGAGUGCUAAGUGUUGGGGGGUUUCCGCCCCUCAGUGCUGCAGCUAACGCAUUAAGCACUCCGCCUGGGGAGUACGGUCGCAAGACUGAAACUCAAAGGAAUUGACGGGG
rnacentral:rRNA from 1 species